rnacentral:rRNA from 1 species
AACGAACGCUGGCGGCAGGCCUAACACAUGCAAGUCGAACGCUCCAGCAAUGGAGAGUGGCAGACGGGUGAGUAACGCGUGGGAACCUUCCCUAUGGUUCGGAAUAGCCCAGGGAAACUUGGGGUAAUACCGAAUAAGCCCUUCGGGGGAAAGAUUUAUCGCCAUUGGAUGGGCCCGCGUCGGAUUAGCUAGUUGGUGGGGUAACGGCCUACCAAGGCGACGAUCCGUAGCUGGUCUGAGAGGAUGAUCAGCCACACUGGGACUGAGACACGGCCCAGACUCCUACGGGAGGCAGCAGUGGGGAAUAUUGGACAAUGGGCGCAAGCCUGAUCCAGCCAUGCCGCGUGAGUGACGAAGGCCUUAGGGUUGUAAAGCUCUUUUGGCGGGGAAGAUAAUGACGGUACCCGCAGAAUAAGCUCCGGCUAACUUCGUGCCGGCAGCCGCGGUAAUAC